rnacentral:ribozyme from 1 species
GAGAGAAGGAAAGAGAAAAGGAAAGAGAAAAAAGAAAGAAAGAAAGAGAAAGAGGUGAUGGUUGGUUGUGAUUAUUGAUGUUUUUGUUUGAUAUUUUCACUUUUGUUACUAUUUGCUUCCAGUCUUAUUUGUAAAUAAGUGGA